UCUACAAAGCAUAUCCAACUGUUCAAGUAAGACAAUAGUUUGGCAAAAGAGCAAGAACAUAUUUCUUGAAGAUAAAAAAGAGAAAGAACAUAGCAGAAAGAGAAAAUAGUUCAAUCUCAUCAUAGACCAUGGUAGGAAACAAAUUUUCUUGAAGUAUUUACUAUAACUAUCUUAAAAUAAAUGUUUUUUGCUAUAAUAUGCAACACUAUGUAUGCCGAAUCACCAAAAGCAAACACAGGCUGAAAUGAAUAUACUACAAUAUAAUGUUUCCAGCUAGUUAAACACUAUUUUCCCAUGUUUCAGAACAGAAAGUUUAAGGUUGACACUAGUCAUUGUCAGUAAAAUGCUAGUUCCUGCACCUGAUUAAAACAGGGUUAUUAUUUAAUUUUAAUACGAAUUAUAGUUAAAAUUAAUCCAUAGAAGCAUGGGUAGAUAGAUCAUAUGCAUCGGCAAUUCAUUUAGAACUGCAGUGCAACAAAGACAACAUGCACCGAUGGCGUAAAGAUCUCAACUAGGUCAGUGCGACACAAUAAACCCAUCACUUCCAAUUCUGGAGUGUGAGGAAGAAAGAGCAGUUCAGGACUGCAACACUGAUGUAAACAUUAUUAAGUUCUAGUAAACCAUAUCAAUUGAAGUGAAAAGCCAUGCUCUUUCUAGGAACAUAACUUACAAAAUUCUUACUUACUGAACAUCCAAAUGGACCACAUUCCCAUCAACCUCCAGAUGUCAGGCUCAUUUGAUGGAAACACGAGAUUGAAGGAAAGGGCUCCACCCAAUAGCAUGGAGACGUAUCCC